GAUGAACGCUAGCGGGAGGCCUAACACAUGCAAGCCGAGCGGUAUUGUUUCUUCGGAAAUGAGAGAGCGGCGUACGGGUGCGUAACACGUGUGCAACCUGCCUUUAUCUGGGGGAUAGCCUUUCGAAAGGAAGAUUAAUACUCCAUAAUAUAUUGAACGGCAUCGUUUAAUAUUGAAAGCUACGGCGGAUAGAGAUGGGCACGCGCAAGAUUAGCUAGUUGGUGAGGUAACGGCUCACCAAGGCGAUGAUCUUUAGGGGGCCUGAGAGGGUGAUCCCCCACACUGGUACUGAGACACGGACCAGACUGCUACGGGAGGCAGCAGUGAGGAAUAUUGGUCAAUGGGUGCAAGCCUGAACCAGCCAUCCCGCGUGAAGGACGACUGCCCUAUGGGUUGUAAACUUCUUUUGUAUAGGGAUAAACCUACCCGCGAGAGGGUAGCUGAAGGUACUAUACGAAUAAGCACCGGCUAACUCCGUG
rnacentral:rRNA from 1 species